CUGGUUUUCCUCACUUCAUGGCAUGAGGAGACAUAUUUUGCCAUUUUGUGUGCUUCAACUACGGAUAAGAGCUCUCUGUGAGCCUGUUCCAUUACCCUCUGUGCAGGCUAAGUUACAUAUCCACAUGGAGCAUUUCAGAAUAAGAGCGUCUGAUUUUGCUGACUUCAGGACUUCAGUUGUCCUUGAUUUUUGUGCUUCUACUAUGGUUAAGUAGGUUACGUAGUUGAUUUGUUCCUUUUUUGUCUGUUUUAACUUUGUUUAUUGUUGAUGUAUGAUCAGGAGUCUGCAAAGCGUGUUUUAUUUUGAAAAUUGACAAGAUUCUCUUUGCCGUUCUGUGUUUGACUUCCUGUCCAGUUAAUCUGCCCUGUGCUGCUUGACCCGGCUUCUGUAGAAAAUAGACUGGCAGUGAAUAUUUAACUUUAGCAAAACUUCAAUCAGUUCCAGCGCUUUUCUUACCUUUCCUCCUCUGUCUAAUAGCUUCACUUUAGCCGCAUCUGCCUGACCAUCCCCCACAUUACCCGUGUUCGGGCAACAUAUUCUUGCCUGUUACCAUGUUGACCUUGCUCAAUAACUACAAACUCACGUAUAUUAUUCAUCUCUUAGAUGCCCUCAUGCUACCAUCCUCUUCCCUACAUACGGUCUCAACACUCUGACUUCCGCAUGUCACUAACUUGGAGUUCCUCGGAAGGCCCCAUCUAAAUUCUUUAGUCAUUUCAAAUUUCCUUCUGGCCACCUCAGCUACACCAUCCGCAUCAUCCCUCAAGGAUGAUCCUUCUUGUCACACCUCCUUACAUUGGACGAAGCAUGCAAGAUGCGGCUUAAACUGUGGCACCAGUUCCUCUCCUCCUGGUAUCACAUCUCCUUCUUUUACCGUGACCACAUCACCAAGCCAGAAGGCAUCCAGCCCUUCACAGAUGCAGCGGCAGGAGGUUCACAUUUGAAUGGUCGCCGAUUCUCAUCUCUCACUCCUUCCUCCAGCAUCUGCAAAAUAUACCCAAUAAUCAUAGCAGCUGUUAUGGGGGGGGGGGGGGGGGCACGAACGGCCCAGAGGAUCAUCGCUAUCUACUGUGACAACGGCGCUAUUGUAGACAUCAUUAACAAAGGAUGGUCACAUUGGGUAGUCAUAAUGCAGACGGUCAUCCCGGUUUCGGCCCAGCACCAGUCCAUCAUCUGAGCAUCCCACAUCCCAGGUCACAAAAAUCUAUUGCUGACUCACUUUGUCGCUUCUCUCUCCAGAAAUUCAGACCCUCUUUCGACUCAGAACUCUCUGCACAGUUUCCACAUAUUGGUAAAAUGUUAGAAUCCAUGUUCCUACUUGCUUUCUUUGGCUUUCCAUGCUGCUCAGAGUUCACCCCUCAACUACAGUCCAUUUCGAAACACACUCAUGUCUCCCAUGUCCACCUACCCCUUUCUACUAGACUCGUGCCUAAGCACAUACAAACCUAUAGAAAAUAGAGACCAACGAGUCAUGUUUCCCCCGAAGACCCUCUGUUCAUCUCAGAUACAGGUCUUCUCUAGCAUGCCUUACCUACAACAAUCCGAUCAGAAAAGCCCACACAGAUCUUUUCAUUUAGUUCCUUUAGGGGCUCUAUCUGAAGCAGAGCACAUGAAGAGAUGGCUCCCCAACUCAGAUUCUCAAUUCCCAUGGUUCCCUUCUGUCUUUUCUUCCAUCCAUUCGUCCAUGACCCUGAUUUCUCCUCUCAUCCCUUAAUCCCUUUAUCCCUUCAUCUCUCUAUCUUCACUGCUUCAUUCCUCAACCCUCGUACCCAUCCCUCCAUCCCUUGAUUCCUCAUCCCUCCCUCUGGACCCUUAAUCCAUCCUUGCUACAUCAUUUGAGCUCUCCUUCAUUCAUAAUAUACAAUAAAAUAUUCCAGAUUCAUAUGUUUAUUGGCCUGGUCUUUAUUAGUGAAGAAACAAACAAAUGAAAGUGUGUAAAAUCAUUUGAUGGAAAUUCUUAAUACAUCACAAAAUGUGAAGAUCGCCAAGAAUAAAUCACAUGUACAAGUAAUUUGCCCUGGUGUUGUGGCACAUAACCUUCAAACAUACAAAGUAAGCAAAAGUACCUCAAAUAACAGGUGAUCCUAAUAAAAAUAUACAAUAGAAUUUUACAAUAAAAAUGGAUUUUCUAAAGAGAAUAGAUCAGUGUAAAGUGUUUGAAAUGUGGGAGGUACAAUAUAUUGACUAAAGAAUGUGCAAAUGUGCAAUAUAUAUAGAAUGUGUGCAAUGUGGAAAUAAUCCAAUAAUUUGCAUUAAUGUAACAUGCAAGUUAGAUGUAAUGGGUAGAUAAUCCACAGCUGAGACUCUCUGGAUUCUCUCACCAGUGCAAAAUAGUAUGGGUCCAUCAAUAUCCAAUGUAUGUGAAGGGUCGAUGAGCCAAAACCACAACUGUUGAACACAUUGUGGCGCUAGAUGGUAAAAAUCAGGGGACCACCAAAGUCAGUGAAAUGUGUCCUCUGGGGACCAUGAACGUAUAAACAAAAUUUGAAAGCAAUCCAUCCAAUAGUUGUUGAGUUAUUUUAGUCUGAUCCAAAGAGGUGGAUUGACAAGCAAACAGACUGACAGAAGGACAGUUUUCAUCCAAAUGCAUUAUUGGCAUGAAUGUUAAUAUAAGAGAAUUGCCAAAAGUCUCAUGUCUCUAACAGCAAAUGCACACAGACUUCACAUUUUGAAGGCUUUGAUUAGGCUAUUGAAUUGCUAAUGUCAAGCUGACACAAAUAUAAUAGCUAUAUAAUAGCUCAUCAUGAGUCAGUCCAUUAGAUUUUUGCAUAAAACACAGACAGGACAAGGUCAGCCUUACCUCCAUCAGACCUGACCAUUUUCACAUUACAUUUCUACGCAGGUAAGUCAACUGAAAUAGCAAAGCAAACUCUAGUCUUUGAGCACAAUUAAUACAUUUCAUCAAAGCAGGAAUGACUGUGCUGAAAAUUGAUGCCAAUCAAGAGCCACAAUUGGACUAAUUAACAUCUUCACUCACUGAGGGAGAACUAAUUAUUGAACAGCUGGUGAGUGCUAAUUGGUUGAAAGGCAAUCAACACUCUCACAUAUGAUUGGACGACCCCCGGGCUAAGGUGGUGUCACCAGCCAAUCCUGAGCUGUUACUAAGGAGAAAAAAAAUCACACCACCUGCUCCCCUCAGUGCACUGCUCAGAGUCCACACACCCACUGAAGAUAUCAGAGCUUUUGUCUAGUUAGUUCAUCUUUUAUGCUCAAAAAGGAUCAGUUAAAAGGACUACAGUUUUUCCAGAGAAUCCAGCCGUUGUGUGGUAUUUUAGUUCCAUCUGAGUUUUGUCCAGAUUUCAGAUGAAAAAUUAUGUCUACAGAGCCUGCCUUCUUCAGCCUGUCAGCCUGAGUGCAGGGAGGAUGUAGAGAUCUGAGAGGAGUCCAAUCAGCGGCCUGGUAGCAAACAGCUCUUCACACGAGGCACUUCCCUGGUUUAAGGACACGAUAGCUGCUGGAUUGAUGGGGAAUGGCAUGAAUAAUUUAGGCCUGCAUUAAACUGGAAGGAAAUGGUGACUCAUGGAAGAAAAGUUGAAAAGCUAAGUGGUUUAGAGAGUGCUGCCUCUUCAGUGUCUGCUUAGCUUCCAUGAAUAGUAGAAUAGCAGAGCUUCCACUAAGCUCACUGUGUAGCAGAUGUACUGAAUACAUAUGGCACUGCAUCCAAAUUAUAUAAUGCAUAUAUGUCGAAUACAAUGUUAAAGCAAUAAACAUAUGUUUUGGCA